UUGUAAACCUCUUUGGAGUGGGAAGAAUGUCCUCGGUGCUAACAGUACCGAGGAGUGACGGUACCACUAGAACAAGACACGGCUAACUCUGUGC
rnacentral:rRNA from 1 species